GACGAACGCUGGCGGCGUGCCUAAUACAUGCAAGUAGAACGCUGAAGGAGGAGCUUGCUUCUCUGGAUGAGUUGCGAACGGGUGAGUAACGCGUAGGUAACCUGCCUGGUAGCGGGGGAUAACUAUUGGAAACGAUAGCUAAUACCGCAUAACAGUAGAUAUCGCAUGAUAUCUACUUGAAAGGUGCAAUUGCAUCACUACCAGAUGGACCUGCGUUGUAUUAGCUAGUUGGUGAGGUAACGGCUCACCAAGGCGACGAUACAUAGCCGACCUGAGAGGGCGAUCGGCCACACUGGGACUGAGACACGGCCCAGACUCCUACGGGAGGCAGCAGUAGGGAAUCUUCGGCAAUGGACGGAAGUCUGACCGAGCAACGCCGCGUGAGUGAAGAAGGUUGUCGGAUCGUAAAGCUCUGUUGUAAGAGAAGAACGAGUGUGAGAGUGGAAAGUUCACACUGUGACGGUAUCUUACCAGAAAGGGACGGCUAACUACGUG
rnacentral:rRNA from 1 species